rnacentral:RNase_P_RNA from 1 species
GAAGUCAGCCAGGCCGUCGCUCCCGACAGCGCGCUAUGCGCCGCCGGGAGAGGAAAGUCCGGGCUCCGAAGAGCGGGAUGCUGGGUAACUCCCAGACGCUAUAAGCCGUUCGCGCGAGCGGCGGUGAAGGCGAGGAACAGGGCCACAGAGACGAGUCGUAUCCGAUCCAAGGAUGCGGGUGAAACGCGGCAACCUCCAUCCGGAGCAACACCAAGUAAGCGGACGAUGACGCUGCUCGCCGAGUCCGCGGGUAGGUGGCUCG